rnacentral:rRNA from 1 species
AGAGUUUGAUCCUGGCUCAGAACGAACGCUGACGGCGUGGCUAAGACAUGCAAGUCGUACGGACCUGUCAAUUGAGUAAUCAAGAGUCAGGUUGGUGGCGAAAGGGUGAGUAAUGCAUAGACAACGUACCCUUAACUCCGGGAUAGCUGCGGUCUUCGGACCUUUAGCGAAAGUGCAGAUAAUACCGGAUAAAAUCCUAGUGUCGCAUGGCACAUGGACCAAAGGUUUCGACCGGUUUUGGAGCGAUCUAUGUCGUAUCAGCUUGUUGGUGAGGUAAUGGCUCACCAAGGCUUCGACGCGUACCGGGACUGAGAGGUUGACCCGGCACAUUGGGACUGAGACACUGCCCAGACCCCCACGGGGGGCUGCAGUAACGAAUAUUGCGCAAUGGACGAAAGUCUGACGCAGCAACGCCGUGUGUAGGAUGAAGCCCUUCGGGGUGUAAACUACUGUCAGGGAUUAGAAAGGCUUCGGCUUGAUCAGUCCCAAAGGAAGGACCGGCUAACUUCGUGCCAGCAGCCGCGGUAAUACGAAGGGUCCAAGCGUUGUUCGGAAUUACUGGGCUUAAAGCGCGCGUAGGCGGAAUGGUAAGUGUCUUGUGAAAUCCCUCGGCUCAACCGAGGAACUGCUUGGCAAACUACUAUUCUUGAGGCAAGUAGGGGUGCAUGGAACUCUAGGUGGAGCGGUGAAAUGCGUAGAUAUCUAGAGGAACGCCCGCGGAGAAAUCGGUGCACUGGGCUUGUUCUGACGCUGAGGCGCGAAAGCGUGGGUAGCGAACGGGAUUAGAUACCCCGGUAGUCCACGCCGUAAACGAUGUAUACUAGGUCGUAGUUGCUCUGACGCUGGUACGGCCGAAGCAAAAGUGUUAAGUAUACCGCCUGGGGAGUACGGUCGCAAGGCUAAAACUCAAAGGAAUUGACGGGGGCUCACACAAGCGGUGGAGCAUGUGGCUUAAUUCGAUCAACGCGAAGAACCUUAUCCUGGGUUUGACAUGCUUGGAUGCCCAUCCUGAAAGGGAGUAGGCUGCUCUUCGGAGUGAAACUUGCACAGGUGCUGCAUGGCUGUCGUCAGCUCGUGUCGUGAGAUGUCGGGUUAAGUCCCUCAACGAGCGAAACCCUUGUCGUUAGUUGCCAGCGCGUUAUGGCGGGAACUCUAACGAGACUGCCGGUGUUAAACCGGAGGAAGGUGGGGAUGACGUCAAGUCCUCAUGGCCUUUAUGCCCAGGGCUGCACACGUGCUACAAUGGCGUAGACAGACCGAAGCGAUACCGCGAGGUGGAGCAAAUCGGAAAAACUGCGCCCCAGUUCGGAUUGCAGGCUGCAACUCGCCUGCAUGAAGUUGGAAUCGCUAGUAAUCGCAGAUCAGCUAUGCUGCGGUGAAUAUGUUCCUGAGCCUUGUACACACCGCCCGUCAAGUCACGGAAGCUGGGAGUACCUGAAGUCGGGUAGCUAACUUUUCGGAGAGGCGCCUGCCGAUGGUAAGCCUGGUAACUG